GCCCGAAUGGCGGAACGGUAGACGCGCUAGCUUCAGGUGCUAGUAAUUUCAUAUUGUGGAAGUUCAACUCUUCUUUCGGGCA
rnacentral:tRNA from 2 species